CCAACGGCCCUCUUCAGGGCCACAAUUAUGGUCGAGUACUCUAAU
rfam:Ancylostoma ceylanicum strain HY135 Acey_s0393_scaf, whole genome shotgun sequence.